UGGCAACUCACUAUGGUGUAAGUUUGA
rnacentral:piRNA from 1 species